AAACAUGCAGAAACUGGACUCGUUAAUCUUAUUGAACGAGUUUUUAUUGAAGAGCUCACUUGCAGUUUGACUUAUUUAUAGCCCGGUCAUGCAUGUGGGGAAGGAUUUACUCUGCACCUUAUUGUAGAAUGUAAAUAGCUAUAAAACGUAUGUAGAUAUGCUACCAACAGCAUAAUAUAGGUGGAAUUUAAACUCUCAAUCCACCAACAUGU
rnacentral:lncRNA from 1 species